CAGCCCUUGACAUGGGACUCGCCGGGAGCAGAGACGCUCCCUUCGGUUCGGCCGGAGUCCGCACAGGUGCUGCAUGGCUGUCGUCAGCUCGUGUCGUGAGAUGUUGGGUUAAGUCCCGCAACGAGCGCAACCCUCGCCCUUAGUUGCCAGCAUUUAGUUGGGCACUCUAAGGGGACUGCCGGUGAUAAGCCGAGAGGAAGGUGGGGAUGACGUCAAGUCCUCAUGGCCCUUACGGGCUGGGCUACACACGUGCUACAAUGGUGGUGACAGUGGGCAGCGAGCACGCGAGUGUGAGCUAAUCUCCAAAAGCCAUCUCAGUUCGGAUUGCACUCUGCAACUCGAGUGCAUGAAGUUGGAAUCGCUAGUAAUCGCGGAUCAGCAUGCCGCGGUGAAUA
rnacentral:rRNA from 1 species